rnacentral:rRNA from 1 species
UGCUAGCGGGAUGCUUUACACAUGCAAGUCGAACGGCAGCGCGAGAGAGCUUGCUCUCUUGGCGGCGAGUGGCGGACGGGUGAGUAAUAUAUCGGAACGUGCCCAGUAGCGGGGGAUAACUACUCGAAAGAGUGGCUAAUACCGCAUACGCCCUACGGGGGAAAGGGGGGGAUCGCAAGACCUCUCACUAUUGGAGCGGCCGAUAUCGGAUUAGCUAGUUGGUGGGGUAAAGGCUCACCAAGGCAACGAUCCGUAGCUGGUUUGAGAGGACGACCAGCCACACUGGGACUGAGACACGGCCCAGACUCCUACGGGAGGCAGCAGUGGGGAAUUUUGGACAAUGGGGGAAACCCUGAUCCAGCCAUCCCGCGUGUAUGAUGAAGGCCUUCGGGUUGUAAAGUACUUUUGGCAGAGAAGAAAAGGUAUCCCCUAAUACGGGAUACUGCUGACGGUAUCUGCAGAAUAAGCACCGGCUAACUACGUGCCAGCAGCCGCGGUAAUACGUAGGGUGCAAGCGUUAAUCGGAAUUACUGGGCGUAAAGCGUGUGUAGGCGGUUCGGAAAGAAAGAUGUGAAAUCCCAGGGCUCAACCUUGGAACUGCAUUUUUAACUGCCGAGCUAGAGUAUGUCAGAGGGGGGUAGAAUUCCACGUGUAGCAGUGAAAUGCGUAGAUAUGUGGAGGAAUACCGAUGGCGAAGGCAGCCCCCUGGGAUAAUACUGACGCUCAGACACGAAAGCGUGGGGAGCAAACAGGAUUAGAUACCCUGGUAGUCCACGCCCUAAACGAUGUCAACUAGCUGUUGGGGCCGUUAGGCCUUAGUAGCGCAGCUAACGCGUGAAGUUGACCGCCUGGGGAGUACGGUCGCAAGAUUAAAACUCAAAGGAAUUGACGGGGACCCGCACAAGCGGUGGAUGAUGUGGAUUAAUUCGAUGCAACGCGAAAAACCUUACCUACCCUUGACAUGUCUGGAAAGCCGAAGAGAUUUGGGCCGUGCUCGCAAGAGAACCGGGAACACAGGUGCUGCAUGGGCUGUCGUCAGCUCGUGUCGUGAGAUGUUUGGGUUAAGUCCCGCAACGAGCGCAACCCUUUGUCAUUAGUUGCUACGCAAGAGCACUCUAAUGAGACUGCCCGGUGACAAACCCGAGA